AGACAGAGAGAGAGACGGAGAGAGAGACGGAGAGAGAGACGGAGAGACAGAGAGUCGGAGAGACAUUCUGAGACCGAUCCCAUCAGUGUCGCUUCCAUCAUCGCUUUGCUCGCCUGUUCCCACAGGAGCUGAUGUCCUGUGCGGAUAAGACUGCAGAGUGCAACCCUUUAUACUCGUAGAGGGACGUGUCAUGUUCGGGAUUUACACUCCCCUGGAUUUGUAUAAGGCCCUCCCUCGACUCACAUUCGGCAAAUCAGAUCACUUCUCAGUUCUGCCUUCCUCUAGGCAGAAACUCAAACGUGACAGACCGGUGACUCGGACCAUUCAGCGAGGGACCGACCAAUCCGACUCGGCUCUACGGUACAGAGGUCUACGACAAGACACACAGAGAGAGUCGGAGACACACAGGGGGGCGUGUCUGGAGAGUCGGAGACACACAGGGGGGCGUGUCUGGAGAGUCGGAGACACACAUGGGGGCGUGUCUGGAGAGUCGCCUCUCGAAAGUAAACUGUUCAAACCGCAUUUGUUAUCCGUAAUGUACGGUCGGAGCGCACAAGCGCGUGUCAGCAGCACUGGAGAGCGACGCGUCAGAAACAGGAAGACGGAGCCGGUCUAACAGCCGCGUGUGUUGGUGUCUGCUCCUUCUGCUUCAGAGGAAAGGAGCGAGAGACGGAGAGAGAGACGGGGAGAGACGAGAGAGACAGAGAGACAGAGAGACAGACAUUUUCACCUUAACUCCACUACAGCUUUGAUAAUGUUACAUCUUAUUGGUUAUGAAAGUUGAACUAAUAGUGUGUGAUAUUAGUGUGUUGUCCAGCUGCUGAAGGAACCACUUUACAAAGACUUCAGAUGGACUCAUUCGUCUGGUUUGUGUCUGUGGUUUACAGCUGUCUUCCACAGUGGUGGACGAAAAGACACUUCUGACUCCUCCUCUAAUGCUCGGUGGAACAGAGCCUGUGACAGCUGGAUACUGGAUGAUCAGCCUUCAGGAUCACAUGUGGGGGCGUCCACCCAACCUUUGUGACAGGGCUUUCUGUUGUUCACAUCUUUAACUGGGAAGCUGCCUGUACAAGGAAAGACUGAUGCGGCCCAUCUGACAUUUUGUCUUUCAUUUCACAUUUUUGCUGCAUUUCAUUUCCCUUAAUCAUUCAGUAUACGUUGUUCAGAAUAUCACACCAAAACAGGGAACCAAGGUUUUGUUAAAGAGGAGUUUAAUUUACAGGAAUUGACUGUCAUCAUGCUGCUAUUACAUUAAAUUACAUUGUUCUGUAUUUGAGAUUAUGUUGAAUUUCAUUUAAAACAAUAAUAAACAGACAAGUUGA